UGGGGAAUAUUGCGCAAUGGGCGGAAGCCUGACGCAGCGACGCCGCGUGGGGGAUGACGGCCUUCGGGUUGUAAACCUCUUCAGCAGGGACGAAGGUGACGUGUACCUGCAGAAGAAGCGCCGGCUAACUACGUGCCAGCAGCCGCGGUAAUACGUAGGGCGCAAGCGUUGUCCGGAAUUAUUGGGCGUAAAGAGCUCGUAGGUGGCUGGUCGCGUCUGCCGUGAAAGCCCGCAGCUUAACUGCGGGUCUGCGGUGGAUACGGGCCGGCUGGAGGUAGGCAGGGGCAAGUGGAAUUCCUGGUGUAGCGGUGAAAUGCGCAGAUAUCAGGAGGAACACCGGUGGCGAAGGCGGCUUGCUGGGCCUUACCUGACGCUGAGGAGCGAAAGCGUGGGGAGCGAACAGGAUUAGAUACCC
rnacentral:rRNA from 1 species